rnacentral:lncRNA from 10 species
AGGAGAGGUAGGCACCUGCUUGUGUGAUUGAAGGGGGCUUCAAUGCUCCAAUGUAGCCCCUUGGCAUGUCACUUUUAAAAUCAAUAUGUGUUGAGCACAUCACACAUGCCAGGUCCUGUUCUUUUUUUUUUUUUUUUUUUUUUUUUUGAGACUGAGUCUCGCUCUGUCACCCAGGCUGGAGUGCAGUGGCGCGAUCUCGGCUCACUGCAAGCCCCGCCUCCCGGGUUCACACCAUUCUGCUGCCUCAGCCUCCCGAGUAGCUGGGACUACAGGCGCCCGCCACCACGCCUGGCUAAUUUUUUGUAUUCCCAGGUCCUGUUCUUAAAGCAAUGACCAGAAUAGAGCAAUGAAAAAGAAACAUUUUCUUUGGUGAAGUUUAUAUUCUUAGUGGAGAGACAGAUGAUAAAUAAGAAAAAUAAGUUAAAUAAUUAGUGGAUUGGAUGGGGAUAAAUGCCAAAGAGAAGAAUGAAGCUGGGAAAGGGAAUAGUGAGUGUGUGUGUGUGUGUGUGUGUGUGUGUGUGUGUGUGUGUGUGUUUUAGGGGGUUUUCAAUGAAGGGAGGGCCUUUUUUGGAAGUAAGCAAGAGGGUCUCGCAGAAUAGGGGUCACCGGAGUCAAGACCUGAAGGAGAUGAGGCAAUAAGCCAUGCAGAUAUUUGGGGAAAGAGUGUAAUGGAGGGGAACAGCUAGUGCAAGGGCCCUGAGGCUGCAGUGUGCCUGGCAUGGACUGGUUCAGGGCAGCAAGGAAGCAGGAAUGGCUGGAAUGAGGAGGAGAGGAGUGAGAGAUGGGUUGGAGAGGUACCACAUGGAGCCUCUAGUCCACAUAGGGACUUUGGCUUUUACUUUGGGUGGGAUGCAAUAACAUUGGAGGAUUUGUUUUAUUAUUCUUUUAUUUAUAUUUAUUUAUUUAUUUUUGAGACAGGGUCCCUCUCUGUUGCUCAGGUUGGAGUGCACUGGUGUAAUUAUAGCUCACUGCAGCCUUGAUCUCCCAGGCUCAGGCAAUCCUCCUACCUCAGCCCACUGAGUAGCUGGAACCACAGGCAGGCGCCACCAUGCCUUUGGUUUUUAGUAGAGAUGAGGUCUCACUAUGUUGCCCAGGCUGGUCUCGAACUCCAGAGCUCAAGCAGUCCUCCAGCCUCGGCCUCUCAGAGUGCUGGGAUUAUAGGUGUGAGCCACUGCGCCUGGCCCCAUCAGAGGAUAUUGAAUAGGCAAGGGACUAAAUUUUCGAAAGAAUCUCUCUGGCUGUCAUGGUGAGAGCAGACAGAAUGGAGCAUAGCAAAAUUGGGGAGAUCAGUUAGGACACUAUUGUGAUAAGGCUAAUGAGCGAUAAGGGGCUUGGAUGUUGCAGCAAUGGAGGUGGUAAUAAGUAUUAUUAUAGAAGUCUAGAUAUAUUUAGAAAGAGCCAAGAGGAUCUACUGAUGGAUCCAGUGUGGAAAGCGUCAGAGGGGAACGUCAAAAUCAACUAUGAGAUCCUUCCUCUGAAUCGCUGGAGGGCCAGAACACCGCAUACUAAGCAGGAAGGCUGUGGGAGGAGCUGGUUUUCAGUGGGGUGAGCUCAGGAGCUCAGUUCAGGACAUCUUACGUUUGAGACCCUGUCAGUGGAGUGGUCUGGGUUGGAAAUGUAACUUUGGGAGAGAUCUGCAUUUGGAUGGUGUAUAAUGCAGACAGGGCUGGGUCAUAGUGCUCAGUGAGCACUAUGCCAAGUGCUUUCUAGCACCUUCUCACCUCACUCCCCCAACAAACCCAAGAGGAGGGUGCUAUUAUCACCCCCAUUAUUUAGAUGGAUAAACUAAAACCCAAGGGGGCAAGGGACUCACUAAAGUCACACCACGAGGAAAAAGCAGAACCGGAUCCCAACUUAUAUGUGUCCCAUUUCAAAACUCAAGCUCUGUAACCCAUAUAUACUAUUGUAAUUUCUUCUUUUUUAUUUUAUUUUUAUUGAUACAUAAUAUUUGUACAUAUUUAUGGGGUACAUGUGAUUUUUGUUACAUGCAUAGGAUGUAUAAUGACCAAGGCAGGGUAUUUAGGACAUCCAUCACCUCGAGUAUUUGUCAUUUCUUUGUGUUGGGAGCAUUUCAAAUCCUCUUUUCUAGCUAUUUUUUUUUUUUUGAAUCAGAGUUUGGCUCUUGUUGCCCAGGCUGGGGUGCAACGGCACGAUCUUGGCUCACUGCAACCUCCACCCCCCAGAUUCAAGUGAUUCUCCUCCUCAGCCUCCCAAGUUGCUGGGAUUACAGGUGCCCACCACCACGUUCAGCUAAUUUUUGUAUUUUUAGUAGAGAUGGAGUUUCACCAUGUUGGCCAGGUUGGUCUCGAACUCCUGACCUCAGGUGAUCCACCAGCCCCGGCCUCCCAAGGAUGGUGUCAAUUUUUCUAAUUUGAACAACCAGUUAUAUGGUGGUUCCAUUUACUGAGGAGCAUAGAACGACAGGGGGUACAAGGAGAGGAGCAGGCUUAGGGGAAAGAGUAAAUUCACUCUGGGUAUGCUGAGCUUGAGAUGUCUGUGAAAUCAAGUG